rnacentral:rRNA from 1 species
UACGUAGGUGGCAAGCGUUGUCCGGAUUUACUGGGCGUAAAGGGCGUGCAGGCGGUCUGUUAAGUUCAGGGUGAAAGCUCCCGGCUCAACUGGGAGAGGUCCUUGCAUACUGGCAAACUCGAGGGAGGCAGAGGAAAGUGGAAUUCCCGGUGUAGUGGUGAUAUGCGUAGAUAUCGGGAGGAACACCUGUGGCGAAGGCGGCUUUCUGGGCCUUACCUGACGCUGAGACGCGAAAGCGUGGGGAGCGAACCGG